rnacentral:tRNA from 1 species
AUAGCAUGAAAGAGCAGUGGAUUGAAAAUUCACGUGUCGGCGGUUCAAAUCCGUCUCGGGCCA